UACGUAGGGGGCAAGCGUUGUCCGGAAUCAUUGGGCGUAAAGCGCGUGUAGGCGGUCCGGUAAGUCCGCUGUGAAAGUCGGGGGCUCAACCCUCGGAUGCCGGUGGAUACUGUCGGGCUUGAGUACGGAAGAGGCGAGUGGAAUUCCUGGUGUAGCGGUGAAAUGCGCAGAUAUCAGGAGGAACACCAAUUGCGAAGGCAGCUCGCUGGGACGUUACUGACGCUGAGACGCGAAAGCUAGGGGAGCAAACGGG
rnacentral:rRNA from 1 species